rnacentral:lncRNA from 1 species
UGUAUGGAUCAAGAUAAGAUUGACCCCUCUGAAUUAUUGGAGUUGAUGUAUCGCUGUAUUUUAGUUAUGUAAAAUCUUGAUCAGGAUAAUUCGUGAGAUGGAUUUAAAAGGUUGAAAUGCAAUGUGGAUGAAGCAAUCUCAGUUGAUAGUUAAUCUGAGAUCAUUCUAGAGUAUUCAAAGUUAAAAGGAUAAAUUAUGUGGUAACCAUGUGCAUGGGUUCUGCAAUUUUUUUUUGUGAUAAUUUGAUCUAUCUGAACAUCGAAAAUCAUUGCUAGAUGA